rnacentral:rRNA from 1 species
GACGAACGCUGGCGGCGUGCUUAACACAUGCAAGUCGAACGGACCGGCCCUGCUUUUGUGGGGUGCUCGAGUGGCGAACGGGUGCUUAACACGUGAGUAACCUGCCCUUGACUAUGGGAUAACUUCAGGAAACUGGGGCUAAUACCGGAUCGGAGCUCCUGCUGCAUGGUGGGGGUUGGUUCGUUUCGGCGGUUGGGGAUGGACUCGCGGCUGAUCAGCUUGUUGGUGGGGUAGUGGCUUACCAAGGCUUUGACGGGUAGCCGGCCUGAGAGGGUGACCGGCCACAUUGGGACUGAGAUACGGCCCAGACUCCUACGGGAGGCAGCAGUGGGGAAUAUUGCACAAUGGGCGGAAGCCUGAUGCAGCAACGCCGCGUGCGGGAUGACGGCCUUCGGGUUGUAAACCGCUUUCGCCUGUGACGAAGCGUGAGUGACGGUAAUGGGUAAAGAAGCACCGGCUAACUACGUG